GCGCGCGGCGUGCGACAUUUCACCUCUGGGUCUCUCUCAAAUGGCACGGACAGGGCGGGGGUGGACGGGGACGGGGGAUCCACACUAGUAAUAUAAUUAAUAAUAGGCUAAAGUCAGUCACACACCUCGACUUUCUUCCAAAUAACGCACAUUUCAUUCAUAAUGUUAUAAUACAGGCCUAUAGUUCCUGAAAAUGAAACUAGGUAAUACAAAACGAUUAUGCGGUCAUCAAGGUGAAUUGGUUUAGUCUUGACUUCUGGUCCUGAGUGACAGUUGGGGGGAUGGGAAAUCUGUUGAUUGUCGAGUGCCAAAUAAACAGAGAUGGAGAAGAAAAGGUCAAAGCCAGGAGCCCAAUUUCGAAAAAAAAAGAGGAGAAACGAGCAAAAGAUAAAGGGGCACUUCUAAAAUAUUUUGGAGCAUCCUCUACCACUGGUCAGGAUGAGCCAACCACCUCCUCCGCUACACAUGUCUCCACAAAUAUCUGAUAUUGAGGAUGAAGACCUCUUUUCCUCUACUUCUCCCCAGCAUGAGCUUUCAGACUGAAGUGUCAUGACUGGAUUGGAUUGAUGGAAGCAGAGACUUUAACUAACUAAUACUUGUCAGACCAGAUGAGCAGCUGAGUGGGAAGAAACAAUGAGAUUAGUGAGAAACAAAUGACAGCAACUCCCUUUUGACACACACACACACACACACACACACACACACACACACACGUUUGCUAUUUAAACACGUUUACUGUCAUUGGAACUGUAUUUUUGUAUGCGACUAAAUAUAAAUAAUAACUAAAUUUAACCCUAACAUGAAAAAAAGAAAAUGAAUUUAUUGAUCUGUCAGUAAUGUCUCCAUAAGGAGAGUUUGUUGGAUUUAACUCAUUUCUGCAUAUAAAUUUGUCCACAAAACAGAAACACACAGUUGUUAUCCCUGAACAUAUCAGCUUUGUCUCACACAUUUCUUCUGUAAUUCAUUGUGUCUUUAAUACACUUUCAUGUCUUUAUUUUUAUAUUUUUCUGUCACUGUGAGAGAACGACAUGAAUGCAGAUCUUCCAGUUACACCCUCAUUCAUGAGCCGCAGGGAAACUGAAAAAGACAAAAUAGUCAAACAUACAGACUCAUUUAUCUAUUUAAAUUCAUUCAUGUGUGUUUAUGUAUAUAUCAACAGAUAUCAUCAAUUUCAGCCAGGUUCCUAAAUAUAUACUUUCAGUUUGUUUUGACUCAUUUAGUUUGUGUCACAUGAUGACAUCAUUCAGUGUUUUUGCAUUUACUGUAAACAGUGUUGGGAUACAGCUAAUGGGUGAAGAUGGCAGAAGACCGUACAUUCACGAGAUGGACUUAUGCACAUCUUGUCAUUUUACAAUUAUAUGGCAUUAGAGUUUGCGAAUAGUCCUGUUGUGUCUAAUAUGAAUAGACCUAAGCAAUUCACAGAUAUUGCCAGAUAAUCACUUUACCUCUACCAUACUUUUAACAGACUUGGAUGAUUUGUGAUUCUGGCUGUCAUCGUUUCUUGAGCCUUCACUUUGCCAAUAAUAUUAGAUAUUGUAAGUAGCCUGGAUAGCCCACAGCUAUUAUGCUACACUCUCUACUGGAUGUAAAAUGCUCUGCAGUACAUUUUGUGAUUUCAAGUUCUACUUCUGUAGUUAUUUUGGUGAAAGUAACUCAAAAGUAAUACAGGUGUCAUGUAACGCAUUACAAUUCUGAGACAGUAAUAUUGUAAGGUUAGGAAUUAAUAUUAAAUGACAGUAACAAGUAAUCUAUAAUGUUUUACAGUUUGGAAGUAACUUACACAACACUGACUGUAAAUAUAUGCGGUAAAGAUCACUGAAGCAUUGAAGAGAAAGUCAGAAAUGGCCAUGCUGUUGUGGAGCAUUUAAAACACAGCUCGAGAAAAGAGCAAAGAGCUGUGUAAAAACAAGGUAAACUGGCAUGGCUGCUUCAGUAAAUAUGUUUGUAAAUGCACAUUUACUUUUGUUAACACUGUCUGAUAAGGUUUAGUGAAGAUGGUACCUUAUUUUAAAAAGUGAUGAAGCAUAAACUUUUAGCGCCACUUAGUGGACAUUUGUACAUGAUCCAUCGUAACAAAACAUCUAGGUUAAAUAUGUAACCCGGGUUCCCUGAAUAUUAAUGUGUGUCAGUCAGUAUAACGCUAAUUACAUUAAUAUUGUUAAUAAAACAAAGGAAAAGCAGAGAAGCACUCACUGCUCUUAACUAAGUAACUUAUGUAACUUUAAUAGGUAAUUGUGUAUGUCUAUUUUAUAAUAAAGUUUCAUAAGCACUGUAAAAAUGGCAUUUCUACAUAUCUGUGAAAAAAUUUACUAGUUUAAAAUGUAAUUUAAGAUAUCAGUAGUUCUAUUUUCACUAGUUGCAAGGGGAAUUUCAGAUAUCAAUUCCCUUUGUUGAUAUCAACAAUUACUUUGUCACUAGUAAAAAUGUGAAUUCUUGACAUAAAGAAUUCAGUUGUUAAUUGAAAUGUUAAUUAUUGAUAUCAGUAAAAGUAUUUCAACAUGUUACAUUUGCUAUUUCUGAUAUCUGAUACAAUAUAUAUAUAUAUAUAUAUAUAUAUAUGAAAGCCUAUGAAAUACAAAAGAGCUUUAGAUUUAGAACAGCAGGGUUUACAUGGUAUAUCCAAAAAUGUCUUAUUAUGAAAGAUGUGUUUGCCAUUUGAUUCAAAUGUUUGAUGUUUGUGGUAUUUUGAAUGCAGAGUUGCAUUUUGAAGGAGAUGUGAGGCAUUUUGCAUUUUGUGUGUGCAGUUUUGAGAAUUGCGUGGAGACUUAGUUUUGAAAACUUGUGUAAGCAAUUGGUACAAACUGUAAUCUAUAAGCUGUACUAGUAUCUUUUUUCAUGUUACUAGUACUUAUUUUUUAGAUACUAGUAUCUUUUCCAUUAAGUACUAGAGCUUAUAAGUACUAGUGCUUAUUCAUUAACUACUUAUUCUUUAGGUACUAGUGUUUAUUCUUUAGGUUAGUGUUUAUUCUUUAGUUACUAGUUUAUAUUCUUUAGGUACUGGUGUUUAUUCUUUAGGUACUAGUGUUUAUUCUUUAGUUCCUAGUAAUUAAACUCUUUGUGUUUACAAAAAAAUAGAACUAGUACUUAUUUUUUAGUUACUAGUAACAUUUUAGAAGAGAGAUAUCCUGAACUUAAUAGAUGCUAGUACUUUUUAAAUUUGCAUUUCUGCCAAUUAUGGUAAUUGUAUGUUGAAAAUGAAUCAGAAUCAGAAUCAGAAUCAGAAUGAGCUUUAUUGCCAGGUAUGUUUACACAUACGAGGAAUUUGUUUUCGUGACAGAAGCUCCGCAGUACAACAGAAUGACAGAGACAGAACAUAAAACACAUAAUAAAAGAAUAAAAAAAUACAAAUAAGUAGAUAGUGAAUGACAAUAUACAAAUGACAAUUGUAGGCAGGUAUAUUACAAAAAAAAACAGUUAUGUAUGUACAUGUAAAUUAUGUGCAAAAUUUAUAUACUAAGUAUGUGUGUUAGAUAAAUAAAGUGUAUGUGUAUAUAAAUAUAAAGUGUAGUGUGUUCGCCGUUAUUAUCAGCUGUUCAUAAGAUGGAUUGCCUGAGGGAAGAAACUGGUCCUGUGUCUGGUCGUUCUAGUGCUCAGUGCUCUGUAGCGUCGACCAGAUGGCCACAGUUCAAAGAGGGAGUGUGCUGGAUGUGAGGGGUCCAGAGUGAUUUUGACAGCCCUUUUUCUCACUCUGGAUAAGUACAGUUCUUGAAAAGAAGGGAGGGUUGAACCGAUGAUUCGCUCAGCAGUCCGGACUACCCUCUGUAGCCUUCUGAGGUCCGAUUUAGAAGCUGAGCUGAACCAGACAGUUACUGAAGUGCAGAGGAUGGAUUCGAUGAUGGUGGAGUAGAACUGUUUCAGCAGCUCCUGUGGCAGGAUAAACUUCCUCAGCUGGCGAAGGAAGUACAACCUCUGCUGGGCCUUUUUCACAAUGGAGUCAAUGUGAAUGUCCCACUUCAGGUCCUGAGAGAUAGUGGUGCCCAGGAACCUGAAUGACUCCACUGCAGUCACAGGGCUGUUCAUGAUGGUGAGUGGGGGGAGUGCAGGGUGGUUUCUCCUGAAGUCCACGAUCAUCUCCACUGUUUUGAGCGUGUUAAGCUCCAGGUUGUUGAGAGUGCACCAGACAUCCAGCUCUUUUACCUCCUGUCUGUAAGCAGACUCAUCACCAUCCUGAAUAAUGCCGAUGAGUGUGGUGUCAUCUGCAAACUUCAGGAGCUUGACAGAGGGGUCCUUAGAUGUGCAAUCGUUGGUGUAGAGGGAGAAGAGCAGUGGGGAGAGAACGCACCCCUGGGGAGCUCCGGUGCUGAUUGUACGGGUGCUGGAUGUGUAUUUUCCUAGCCUCACUAGUUGCUGCCUGUCCGUCAGGAAGCUGUUGAUCCACUGACAGAUGGAGGUGAGCACGGAGAGCUGAUUUAGUUUGGGCAGGAGGAGGUUUGGGAUGAUCGUGUUGAAGGCCGAGCUGAAGUCCACAAACAGGAUCCUCACAUAUGUCCCCGGUCUGUCUAGGUGUUGCAGAACAUAAUGCAGUCCAAUGUUUACUGCAUCGUCCACAGACCUGUUUGCUCUGUAGGCAAACUGAAGAGGAUCCAGCAAGGGCCCAGUGAUGUCCUUCAGGUGGGCCAGCACCAGUUUUUCAAAUGACUUCAUGACUACAGACGUUAGAGCCACAGACCUGUAGUCAUUUAGUCCUGUAAUUUUGGGUUUCUUAGGGAUGGGGAUGAUGGUGGAGCAUUUGAAGCAUGAAGGGACUUCGCACAGCUCCAGUGAUCUGUUGAAGAUCUGUGUGAAGAUGGGGGCCAGCUGGUCAGCACAGGAUUUCAGACAGGCUGGUGUAACACAAUCUGGGCUUGGUGCUUUUUUCCUUUUCUGCUUACGGAAGACCUGGCGCACCGCAUCCUCGCUGAUCUGAAUUGCAGGUGCCCCACCUGAGAGGGGGAUGCAGGAGGUGUGAAUGGUGAGAGUGCUUGAUUGGAGAGGUGUUCAGGAUGGGUUGCAGGAGCUGUUAAUGGUGUGAACGUUUGAUUGGAGAGGCAUUCGGGGCUGGUUGCAGGAGUUGUGAAGGGUGUGAAUGGUUGUGUGGGGAGGCGUUCAGGGCAGGUGAUGGGUGUUCUUUCAAACCUGCAGUAAAACUCGUUCAGAUCGUCUGCCAGUCGUUGAUUCUCUACAGUGCUGGGGGGUGGUGUCUUGUAAUUGGUGAUCUUCUUUAGACUUUUCCACACUGAUGCGGAGUCGUUGGAAGUGAACUGAGUCCUUAUUUUUUCAGAAUAGUUCCUCUUUGCCACUUUGAUCUCCUUUUCCAGUGUGUAUUUAGCCUGUUUAUACAAGACAUUGUCCCCCUUCACGUAAGCAUCUUCUUUGGCCUGACGGAGCUGUCUGAGUUUUGCAGUGAACCACUGCAAAUGAAUGCAAGGAAUUAAAUGAAUGAAUGCAUAGAAAAGGUUUUUUUUUUUAAGUUUUUUUUUUUUUUUUUUUUCGUUUUUUAGUUUUUUAACUGUAAUUUCGUAAAUAUAGUAGCUUAAGGUGUUUGUUGGUCUUUGAGUUACCUCUGCUGGCAGGAUGGAGAUACGACACCAAUUUUAUUAGCUGUUUUCUAUUUUCCCUCCAGUAAUAUAUAAUAACAUAAUAAAAUAUGUAUGUUAACUUUUUUUUUUUUUUUUUACAUAUACAAAUAAAAAAUAUAUAUAUUCCCCAUCAUAUUCACAAUUUUGAGUACUCCAGGGUGAUUAUGAACAUGAAAUUAUCCAGCCAUUGCUUCCUGUUUUCACAGGCAGUGUAUUGUGAGAUUGCAGGUUGA